CUGUCCUGGGCCAAACGCCAGGAACCACAUUCAACUGGUUUGAGCCAGAGAGAUCAGCUUCUACCAACUCUUCUGGUGGGAGCUGCUGGGAGCUGCAUUUCUCAGGAGUGUGAUGUCAGGAACUCAGCUCUCAUUAUUUCCUUGAAGGAGAGGACAGGAAACGCAUUCAGUCAUCUAUCUGAUGUUCAUCAAGCACCUACUGUGUGCCCCUGGCCUGGGUACUGAGGAGUCCCAGCCUAGUGUGGACAGCUAAUAUUAGGGUUGUGACAUCUAUGCAGAGACCAGGACAGAUGGGUUCCUCCUGCAUCUCCAGGGCCACGGCCACACCCUGGAUUAUAUGCUACUCCCAGGGCUCCAGCUGUGACCCACUUGUCUUUCCCAAAAAAGAAAGCAUAUCUGAACGCAAGUGUUUGAGGG